rnacentral:sRNA from 1 species
UUCCAAAAAAAGACCAAAGACGAUUCCUGUCUUUGGUCCAGGGAAAUGGCUCUUUUCAGAGCCGUGCGCUAAAAGUUGGCAUUAUUGCAGGCGAUUCGCCUUGCACUUUAAAAGAUAGACCAGUUGUGGGGGUUUACCAGCCA